rnacentral:rRNA from 1 species
UACGUAGGGGGGCAAGCGUUGUCCGGAUUUAUUGGGCGUAAAGAGCGUGUAGGCGGUUUGGUAGGUCCGCUGUGAAAACUCGAGGCUCAACCUCGAGACGCCGGUGGAAACCAUCAGACUAGAGUCCGGAAGAGGAGAGUGGAAUUCCUGGUGUAGCGGUGAAAUGCGCAGAUAUCAGGAAGAACACCCCGUGGCUAAGGCGGCUCUCUAGUACGGUACUGACGCUGAGACGCGAAAGCGUGGGGGAGCGAACAGGAUAGAA